rnacentral:rRNA from 1 species
AUGAGGGUCGUCGGGGCUGCAAAGCCGGCGAGGAUGUCUUCCAUGGAGCGGGAGCCCAAGACGCUCUCCCUCGGCGAGCUCAAUUACGCCAGGGAAGCAGCGCUGUACGUGCUGACCACGCGCUCCUCGCAGGACGCAGCCCGAAUCUUCACCGAGGGUCUGAAGCCGGUGCUCGGCGUCAGGAGGAACUCCACGGACUCUGACUCGGACGAUGACGAGGAAGGGGACGUGUUUGAUCCGGACCUGCUCGUCGACGAUGUCGACGUGCGCCGUAAUCGCCGGAUGCGUGGGCGCAUCGCCAAGAAACGAGACUUUGCUACAGCACCCUUCUAA